rnacentral:rRNA from 1 species
GAUGAACGCUGGCGGCGUGCCUAAUACAUGCAAGUCGAGCGAGCAGAUAAGGAGCUUGCUCCUUUGACGUUAGCGGCGGACGGGUGAGUAACACGUGGGUAACCUACCUAUAAGACUGGGAUAACUUCGGGAAACCGGAGCUAAUACCGGAUAAUAUUUCGAACCGCAUGGUUCGAUAGUGAAAGAUGGUUUUGCUAUCACUUAUAGAUGGACCCGCGCCGUAUUAGCUAGUUGGUAAGGUAACGGCUUACCAAGGCGACGAUACGUAGCCGACCUGAGAGGGUGAUCGGCCACACUGGAACUGAGACACGGUCCAGACUCCUACGGGAGGCAGCAGUAGGGAAUCUUCCGCAAUGGGCGAAAGCCUGACGGAGCAACGCCGCGUGAGUGAUGAAGGUCUUCGGAUCGUAAAACUCUGUUAUUAGGGAAGAACAUACGUGUAAGUAACUGUGCACGUCUUGACGGUACCUAAUCAGAAAGCCACGGCUAACUACGUG